GUAGUUUUCUUUGUCGUUUU
rnacentral:miRNA from 1 species